rnacentral:rRNA from 1 species
AUGGUCGCAAUACUUGGACACGGCCUCUUAGAUGAUGUAUCAUCGAUGGUUGAGAGACUUUACCCCAUGACUGUGUAUGAGUUCGUCGACGUAGGCAUCAAAAUGCUUGUGCUCAUGGAACCAAAUAUGGAUGUUGACCCAAAAUGUUGCCUUUUGCUCCAUGCCAUGGAUCGGAUCAAUGCUAGUGCCCAAGCACACAUCACACAACAACUUGUCGUCCCUCAUGUUGAAGCUUUCUCAUCUAUCCUUGUUCUUUGUAUCGACCUCAUAUUCAUCUGGAUCAAGGUAGUCGUCGUCGUCCUCCUCCAGCUCCUGCUGUCUGGUGUACGAAUCCGGCUACUGGGUGUAUGUGUCCAGCUGCUUGCCUAG